AAGAUUGCCAAGAUGAAGGGUCGUCACUCUGGAUAUGGUAAGAGAAAGGGUACCCGUGAAGCUAGGUUGCCAACAAAGGUACUUUGGAUGCGUAGGAUGCGUGUUCUGAGGCGUCUGUU